rnacentral:rRNA from 1 species
AUUGAACGCUGGCGGAAUGCUUUACACAUGCAAGUCGAGCGGCAGCGCGGGGCAACCUGGCGGCGAGCGGCGAACGGGUGAGUAACAUAUCGGAACGUACCCAGUAAUGGGGGAUAACUACCCGAAAGGGUAGCUAAUACCGCAUACGCCCUGAGGGGGAAAGCGGGGGAUCGUAAGACCUCGCGUUAUUGGAGCGGCCGAUAUCGGAUUAGCUAGUUGGUAGGGUAAAGGCCUACCAAGGCGACGAUCCGUAGCUGGUCUGAGAGGACGACCAGCCACACUGGAACUGCGACACGGUCCAGACUCCUACGGGGGGCAGCAGUGGGGAAAUUUGGACAAUGGGGGCAACCCUGAUCCAGCCAUUCCGCGUGAGUGAAGAAGGCCUUCGGGUUGUAAAGCUCUUUCGGCAGGAACGAAACGGUGGGCUCUAACAUAGCCUGCUAAUGACGGUACCUGAAGAAGAAGCACCGGCUAACUACGUGCCAGCAGCCGCCGUAACAC